rnacentral:rRNA from 1 species
UACAGAGGUCCCAAGCGUUGUUCGGAAUUACUGGGCGUAAAGGGCUCGUAGGCGGCCAACUAAGUCGGAUGUGAAAUCCCCAGGCUCAACUUGGGAACUGCAUCCGAUACUGGAUGGCUUGAAUUCGGGAGAGGGAUGCAGAAUUCCAGGUGUAGCGGUGAAAUGCGUAGAUAUCUGGAGGAAUACCGGUGGCGAAGGCGGCAUCCUGGACCGACAUUGACGCUGAGGAGCGAAAGCUAGGGGAGCAAACGGG